rnacentral:rRNA from 1 species
UUCUCCCUUCUGACGAACCAUGAUGUCAUUUAUUUGGUGUUGUGGGGAAUCAGGACUGUUACUUUGAAAAAAUUAGGGUGUUUAAAGCAGGCUCACGCUUGAAUACAUUAGCAUGGAACAAUGAAAUAGGACGUUUGAUUCUAUUUUGUUGGUUUCUAGGAUCGACGUAAUGAUUAAUAGGGAUAGUUGGGGGCAUUAGUAUUCAAUUGUCAGAGGUGAAAUUCUUGGAUUUAUUGAAGACUAACUACUGCGAAAGCAUUUGCCAAGGAUGUUUUCAUUAAUCAAGAACGAAAGUUAGGGGAUCGAAGACGAUCAGAUACCGUCGUAGUCUUAACCAUAAACUAUGCCGACUAGGGAUCGGAUGAUGUUAAUUUUUUAAUGACUCAUUCGGCGCCUUACG